ACUUCACUUUUAGAAAAUACAUAAAUAUACCUACCUUGUGGAAUAGAAAAAAUUACAACAAUAUCAUUGACAAAGGUAUUGCCUACAUUAAAUACAUUACAUUAAAUAGGAGAUUUCACCGGUUCACAGAGCUUGAUUUUCUUACUUACAACAACUUUAUUUGUAAUUACAGCUUUACUUGCAUUAACGGACCGAUUAAUAGGAUACAGAAGGAUGGAACUAAGAUGUGAAGUUCCAGUGUGGAUGCACUGUAGUACUUUGUGGGCACUAAUGGUUUAAAAGGAGAAUCACUAGAAGGGAAUGUGUGGUGUUUACAGGUGAAUUAAUGCUGCCAUCUUCUAUAGACAACUUCAUAUCUAGACAACUUCUAAAAUGCGGGAGAGGGAAGAAGUUCCCAGGAGAAGCAGUGCUUGCACUGAACCUGGAACUGGUGUCUGAACUAUGAUGUUGCAGAAGAUCUGAAGGGACCGAGGAAUCUCAAGCGGCAGGCACAUGGAAAUCAGGGAAAAUGCAGCUUUAUUAUCUAUCACCGGCAGGCUCAGCGGGAUCCUUUCCCAAAGGCUGAGCACCUGACUGGGUUAGGGAUUACAGGAUUUGAGGACAUUUACCAAUAGCAUUUUCCUCUACAUGUGUCUCAGUCCCUUUGCUAACUAUGGCUUAUCUACAGCACGGCAAAUGAUGAUUCAUGGCUUCUUGGCUCUACUCACAGGAGGAAAGAGAGUUCAGACACAUUGCUAAUUAUUAUUGCAGUGCCAGUGAAAAGUCAUCUUGGGUUAUGAAAAAGUGUUGUCUUUCUUUGGUUGUGGAAGCUAGAACCUUAUUCAUAUUAUUCUGUAAGUAAAUUUUCUAUUAUCUGUUUGGUUUCCUUGGAAGAUGAAACUCCCUCAUUAUUAUAGUUCCUGAACUUGAGAUUCUUUGGGCCUCUUACUUAGAAAUUGUCCCUACAUAAUUUCAGAAGCAAUGGUAAUGAAAUCCAUUUUUUUUUAUUGGUGAUUUUAAGCUAUCCAUCACCUUGGUAAUCUAAGGGCAAUUACAUCAUCCUGGUUCUCCCACCAGCGCACUUUGUGCAGCUGGUAUAGACUGUUCUAAAAAGUGAGAUGAAGAAAGCUUCUCAUGUUGGAAGGGGGUGAGGAUGGGAGCAUAAUGUACCCAAUAAGGGAACUGUGUUCUAAAAUCACUUGAACUCUCUGGACCUCAGUUGUCUGUGAAACAGGUAAGAAUGAAUGUUCUUCAUGGAGAACGAAGGGCAAAAUGAGGAAUUUCUCAAGUUUAUUGAGCUACAAAUUCCACUUUUACAAUAUAAUUAUGUAUAACAAAGUCCAGAGGAUAUAAAAACAAAUUUGCGCAAGUAUUAAGAUAAGUUAAGAGCUAAUGUUCACAUGUGGCUUGAAUGCAGUUAUUAAUAUCUAUGCUUGUUAGAGUUAAUAACCAAUACCAAGAUGAUCUGGAGAAUUAAUGAUUAAUAAGAGGAGCAAAAAAAUAAGCAGCCCCAUUAUCGAUAGAGGCUGGCACCAUUAGGAUGCUAAAGGCCUGGGAAUCAGACUGACUGCACAGAGCAAGUUCACAGAUAUUUGUUGGUAGUAUUACUUGGUGUUUGUUUGUUUGUUUGUUGAAAAAAAGAAAAGUAGGAAAGACAGCAGGGAAAGAGGGAGGGAGGAAAGGAGCAUAUUUAGUUUGAAUUGCCAUAUCCUCUUUUUCAGGGAUAAAGAUUGUAUUUUGCUCUCCAGCUACACUUCUGUCCAUUGUAACUCAGUAACAUUUACCUCUGAAGACAAAAGAACCCUUGGAUAUAAUCUCAUUGUUUGUAGUUCUCUUUUAUAAGAUGCCAGUAUGGUAAUAGUUCUAUUAAUGAGUAAGUAGAGAGGUGCUAGGUGUGAAGGGUCACGUUUUUCCGUGCCAGCAAUUCCAUGGCACCUGCCAAAAUUCCGAAAGUAUCAUCUCCAGCUGCAGUGCCAGAUUCUGGUGAUGAUGUAGGGAUUCCUUUUCCUGGCUCUCUGAUCUAGCUCUGAAAAGACAAUAAGAUAAGAGAAACAGGGCAGGAAAUGGUCAUGAUAGCAAAGCUGGGUUUGGUGCUUUUCCUGACUUUGGUGGCCAAUACCACUGGAUUCCAAUGGUAUCAAGCUUUGUGAAAGA